UAAAACAGUUAAAAUCUAUUUAAAAAAACAUACUGUAACGCUCUAAAAUCCAGUAAAACUCCUAGCUAGUCAAAAAAUAUAUUUAACGCUAAACCUCUUAAUCCAUGUGUGAUUUAACCAGGAUAAAGUCGUGUGUGUUUAUUUACGAUUAGCCUAUUUGGCGUUUCAGAAAUGUGUCCAGUAUAUUUUAUUUAUUUUGAAGGCAGCACCCCUGAUGUUCCGGUGUCAUUCUGCCUCUCUCCGGCAGGCUUCACGCUACUUGGCGUUACAGACGCUCACACCAGCUCCUGCACUCCGCAAGUCUCGGCUCAGUUGUAGACCGGUGAAGGGCUGCGGGACGGAGCCGUAGCACCGGGACAAAACCUCCACUCAGGAUGGACUGAAGCUCUGAAGCAACGGCUGCUGGGACAAGGAAAACAACAUGAGGAAACCACCGCUGACCAGCGAGGAUUUGCUUUCUCAUGAAACGUAGCAUUUCUGCUCCAUGCAUCACCCUGCUUCAUCCAGGCUGAUGUGGCUGAAUACUCAACCAUUCCAAAACGUUUCCUGAGACACUUUCUCUGUGCUUGGUAACAGGCGGGCAGACAGGAAGAGGACAUUAUGGACUGACUAAGAGAGUCAGAGCACAUGCAAACAGAUGACUCACAUAUGAGUGAUAGAUGAUGUAACAAUGUAAUGAUGUCUUCUUGCAGACCAUGGAGCUAAUUGGACCAACAGAAAGGGAGAAAGUGUUUGUUACAAGCUUUUGACCCUCAUACAUUCACUUUGCCAAUGACAAAACAAGUUACAAUCACAGGCAGUGGAGGGGCAAUGACCUAAUUCAGAUUAAAUGACCUCAUACUGAUAAGUAGCCGGCCUCCUCACUGGGUGAUGGAACAUAAUAGACUCUUAUCAUCGUGGCUGGAGUGUGUGAGGUUACAUGAUAUUUGUGUGUGUGUGUGGAUGGCUGUUUAACUCAGAGGAGUGAGUUUUGAUGCUACAUGCAGUGAUGUUGCGGCGUGGAAUGCUAGCCUGGGUCUCCCGUGUUGGAGGUGUGCUGGUGCUCCUCUGCUGCUCCCUGUCGAUCCUCUAUGUGAUGACCUGCAGUCCGCCGCACUCUGACGACCCUCCACUGAGUCAUGCUCUGCCCCGCGCUGGACCCAACCACCCCAGCCUGGUGGGCACAGGCUCGAUGACUGGAGCAGGAGCAGGUGGGACAGGAGGAGGCCGAGCUGGGGCUGCUCAAAUCGGUGGACCCCCCGGUGUUCAGUCUUAUCAGGUGCUCCUCCAAGAGCGCGAGGAGCAGCACCGCCUCCACAUCUCUUCCUUGAAAAAGCAGAUAGCUCAACUUAAGGAGGCUUUGCAGGAGCGUAGCCAGCAGCUGAAAGGAGUGCAGGAGAGCCUGAAGAGAGCCACCGGGGGCCCAGCAGAGGUAGAAGAAGCUGGAGCUGCAUCACAGGGAGGUGGUCUUGGGGAGGAUCAGGGAGCCAAAAGCCAGCAAGACGUCCUCCAGGAGUUCCUGCGGAGCCAGCUGUCGAAGGCCGAGGUGACCGCCGGCACCAGGUUGCCCAGUGAGUACGCGGUGGUGCCCUUUGAGAGUUUCACCCUGCAGAGGGUGUACCAACUGGAGAUGGGGUUGACGCGUCACCCCGAGGAGAAGCCUGUGAGGAAGGACAAGAGAGAGGAGCUAGGGGAGGUGCUGGAGACGGCCCUGCACAGCCUCAACAUGCCAUCAUCCCAGCAAGACAGCAGGAGUGCAGUGGAAAAAACUCAAACAAGCAAAGUGUACACACCAUCUGACUUCAUAGAAGGUAUCACCCGUACAGAGAAGGACAAAGGGACACUGUACGAGCUGACCUUCAGAGGGGAGUCAAGUAAUGAAUUCAGGCGCCUGGUUCUCUUCCGUCCCUUUGGACCACUGAUGAAGGUUAAAAACGAGAGGGUGGACACAGUCAACAUCCCGAUCAACAUCAUUGUCCCGCUGUCCGGACGCACAGACAAGUUCAAACAGUUCAUGCACAACUUCAGGGAAGUCUGUGUGCGUCAGGACGGCCGGGUCCAUCUGACAGUGGUGUAUUUUGGGAAAGAGCAGAUGAGCGAAGUCCGCAGCACUCUGGGGAAUGCAUCCAGGUGGGUUGGAACCACAGAUCUUUGAAUUAGAGGCCAAACGCAGAAUACGGAAUGCAAUUUAUGUAAUGAAAUGCUGCUGCAGUCAUGCACCCGCUCUCAGAAGCAGACGCUGUAAAAAAUAUUAUAUUUAUUAUUAUUAUUUGUCCUAUAUUAUUAUUAUAUAAAACAUUUCCACACAUACACCAGAAACCUCUCUUCUUCAUGUUUUGUAAACUGUCUCUGUCUUUCAUGAAACACACACAAAACACACACACACCUCCUUGCUCGGCGUCCUGCCACAGCCCGUCAUCUGUCUGAUGAAUAAUGGAGCAGUGUGCCACCCACACGGAGGAGUUGAGAGCCAACACAGAUAAAUUACAACAGGCCUGUGAUCAUCCCUGACUCAUGCUAAACCUCUUACAUGAACCUCGACACCCACACCUCUGGAGACGAUUGCUGUCAGCUGAUCAGAAGUCAGAUCCACUGUGGAUUGAUCCACACAUUCCCUGAGGGGGUUGCUAUGGUGAUACUUGUCGAUUUCCCAGCCCCAAAGGUUUUUGUGUGGCCUUGAAUCAGUUGGACUAUCUCUAGUAUCACACAGCGUUUCUUUGUCCCUCUGUGUCUCUGCCUGCUGCUGUCGCUGAAGGGGAACUGUGAAGAUAAAAAAAGGCAGCGUUAAAUACACUUGAAGUGAAGCGUCACAUGAAGUGUAAAGACGGCAAAAUCAGAGUCUGUGAACAUGGAGAGAAGAAACAUACAACAAAACUACUAUUUUAGCUGGGAAGAAUUCUUUUCAGUGAAACACUGAAUGAAAAGCAGUUGGAGCAGAAACUGUGGUUGAAAUGAAGGGGAAUCAUCAUUGGAAGAUAACUACCUGUGGUUCCAUUCUCUUGGACCCAGACAGACACACACAUACAGUAUAUACGCACAGAUACAAUUACAAACUGCAUAUAGGCUUACAGAGGAAGAUGCAUGCGUGUGUGCAUGUGCAAUUGGGCUCCAACUAAGGAUUAUUUUCUUGAGUCAUUAAAUCAUUUAUCAGUUAUUUAUCAGAUUGUUUAUGAAUAAAUGAAUUGUUUAGUCUAAUAAGUGUUUAAAGUUGGCAGGGUUUGAACUUCUCUCUCAUGCCCUUUUUUCCAUUCCUUACACAGUAUUUUCUGUCACUUUUCAAACUGUGUUCAAACAAGCACAACACUGUGAAUAACUUCCAGGAGAGACAGUCUGAAAAUGUGCGCGAGUAUCCCCAUUGUUAAAGGAUAUUGCCUCUCAGCCCUCUCUAUAACUGCUGGCUUUGCACCACACCUCUGAGUGUGGCCAUUCAGAACAUCUGUAAACACUUCUGCCUUCAGACGUGGUCGGACAACACAUCGCACAAACUAGUUCUUCUCGAGUAUAACCCGGCCCUUAGGCGCAGUGGUACUUUGAGCAAAUGCUAACGUCAGCAUGCUUGCUAACAUGCUCACAGUGGCAAUUAUAACAUGCUGAUGUUUAGCAGGUAGAAUGUUUACCAUGUUCACCUUCUUAGUUUAGCGUGUCAACACUAAUUAGCACUAAACAAAGUCUCAAUUGUAUGUUGUCAUAAACCAAAGUAUUAGGAUUCAUCUUCUGGGGAUUCACGAACACCAAAUGCAAUGACAAUCCAUCCAAUAAGCACAAACCAAUCCUUACAUUUCUGAAGUUGUAUUGAAUCAAUUUUGAGUAAUUUUACUUGAUAAAUGACUUCAAAUUAAUCAAUUAUCCCAGUAGUCUUUUAUCGACCAACUAAUCUAUCACACUAAUUGACUGAUCGUCUCACACACACAUGCAUGCAAAUAUUAACAAAUGCUAAUUUUGUUCAGCUCUUAACCUAAAAUAAUCCUAAUUCCAGUUUUAACACUAAAAACUAAAUCCAAACCCUAAAAGAAGAGUUGAGGGUCAGCCAAAACGUCCUCACUCUGAAGGUCUAAAACUCAAAUUCGUUUACACAAAGAAACAGUUCAAGUGCAAGUACACCCACACACACACACACACACACAAACACACACACACACACACACACACACUCACAAACAGGUCAAUAUCUGUUCCCAGCAGUGAUGGCAUCAUUAGUGGCUGAUCUGAUUCUACACUGCCCUUCCUACAAAUUAAAUUCACCUCUAGAAAUUAGUUUGAUUUGUGUCUGCUCCCAAACAACCUCUAGCUAUUUGUUCUUUUUUUUGUAAAAUCACAUGCAGUCACACUCUGCUUUUUAGUAGCACAGUGUCCCUGCUCAAAUUCUUCUUCUAAAAAAAGCAUUUAUUAGACUAUCAACAGCCAUUAUAAACCACUUGAGGCAAAACGCGAUCUAAAUUGACCUGGAUCUCCACCAGCUUUGUAACCCCUAUCAACACCUUUUCUGGGAUUAAAUGAGGGUAAAAAAUGCUUUAGUUUUUAUUGCAGGUGCUAAUUAUUUAGGUGUAUAUACCAAAGGCCAAACCAGUUCUACUGUAACAAAAGCCAAAACAAGUUGAAUACAGGAGAUAGACAGCAAUGCUCCAGAAAAUCUGAGCCUCAGUCUUCAAGCAUUCUGCCAGACACCAGGGAUAUCGUUUAAAAUAGAUAGGAUCUGCUGCUGAACUUUCAAGUAUAUUGCUUACACAUCCGUACUUCAAAGCCUGAACUCAGGCUCAAACUAUUGGGGGGCAUGUAAGUUUCUGAGCCUUACAUGCUCAAGAAUAAUGAUUCAGAAUAACGUGAGAUAAAGAUGAAGAGAUACAUGAGAGGGAGAGGGAAAGAGAUUGUGUGUAAUGGAGAGAGAAGAAUAAGUGAUCUGUUUUAAAGCGAUACCAGUUGAUAUCUAUGAAUAAGUACUGUUCUUCAGACGCAGAGGAGAGGCGAUGGCUGAGGGGAAAAACUGUGAGAAAGGAAGUUAGAGGAGAGGUGUGAAGAUAAGAUGGCAGAGCAAAGCUAAGUUGGAAAAAAGACAGAUUUUCCGAGGAUGGAAGAAGAGCACCAACAAGGAUAUCAAAGGAAGUAGUACAUUAAGAUGAAAGAGAAGAAUCAGAAAUUUGGACAGACAGAGAAAGGAAGGAUGAGAUCAUUCUGUCACUCCUUCAGCUACAGCCUUUCCCUCAUCUUUCUCUUGUAACACCUCGCGACAGCCUCUCCAACAAGCCUUUCAUGUUAUGUUGUGGCAUUUCAUUCAGUUCACAGAUGGGUCAACAACUCUCUGAAGUAUGGGAUGAUCCCAUACUGAAGGGCAUCUGAAAGCUUUAAGGAAGCAAGAGGAUAAUGUUGACCAGAAGGUGACUGAGAGAAGAUUAUGAGUGGAUGAAAUGAUAGCCAAAUCAUAGAGGAGUUUUGAAAGCUGUCCAAUAUUCAUUUUAAAGACCAGGGCCAAUACAGGCCCAUUCUGUAAAUUACUCACUGUUGAUAACUCAAGCUGAGCCUGAGAGUGAUUUUUUUUAUAGCUUGCACUUACCUCUCCAUUACAUGCACAGACUGCUGAUACCACAGCUCACUGUAACAAACAAGCUUUUUUUUCUUCUUCUGCACAAUAGCCCUGAGAGGAUACACCAGCCUGCCUGCUCUGUAAACAGCAGACAGGUGACAGACAAGCAAGAAGAAUUUGUUGUUUAAAAGUUAUUGCUGGCAUUAAAAAAUUCCAGAUAGAAGAGCGCUACCAGCUGGCAAUGCUGCAUCAGAAAACAAAUGUAUUUAUCAGGGAACAAAACUUACAAUAAAGACCCACUGAAGGCGGCACGACACGAUCAAUGUUGGCUCCAUUCAUGUUUUAUGGGACAUGAGCGAAUCACUUCGCAAGGCUUUGUGGGAUUCCAGACGACGCAGGACUGACCAGUGACGCGAAAAAUGUAAUUUUCAUAAAGUUGAAUGUUUGUAACGAUAUGCAAAUGAGGGCGGAAUUCCCCUGGAAACUCUGUAAUGAUUUGCCAUAAAAAAAACGACUUAAAAUUAAUUAACAAUUCAUAUUGCAAGUUUUGCUAACUAGUAUAAACGUUGUUUAUUGUCCCAGACCGAUAAUCAGCCUUUGAAGAUGAUGCUGCUCCAGUACCGUCUGUUGUCUGCUGGUGAAGAGGUGUACAAUUCAGGGAACCUCGAUACAUGUAAAAUCAACUCCUGUAUCACAGUGGUGAAAACACUGACCUGCUGGUGGCGCUAGAGGAAAGGUCAGGGGAUCACCAAAGUCAUUAGGAUUUAUUCUCUUGUGUCAAACAUGAAUGUUUGUAUUAUUCUCUGGGGAACAUGAAUGUUUGUACAAAAUGUCAUGGCAAUCCAUGUAAUUGUUGUCUCAAGUGGUGGGCCGACCAACUGACCAACAUUGCCAUCCCUAGAGCAAUGCCACUAGCAUUGCUAAAAAGCAAGAAUGCUCUCAGAAACGUGUUUAGACUGAAAAGAAGCCUGGAUAUGGCCACAUAUAGGGGCUUACAGUCAAGACUUUUCACAUUCAGUAAGCACCAUAUCUGCAGUCCUCAAGCUAUAAACACACACAAGCAAAUACAUACAAAUGGUUACACAGAGACACAGAUUCACAGAGAAAGAAAAGCGACACAGAACGAAAAUCUGGUCUCCCCUCCCUGUCCUGAGCAGAACUAACAGAAUAAGACCUGCUGCUGAGGCACAACAUGACAGCUCUUUACAGGCUUCUCACUCUGACACAAUUUCAGCAAUUUAGCCCCUACUAGAUACCAGCCAUCACGCCUACAGUAAACAAAUUGACUAUUUUAGGCCAUAAUAAGGGUGCUGAUGCCUAUCUGGGAGAAGGAAGAAAAAGAGCACAGUAUAAAAAGUAAUUUAGAAAACAAGGAUAUAGCAGAACUUAAGUUGACUUUUCCACUUGACACACAAUAGUAGCGCCUGUGUUCAUACUGUUGGGUUUGCAUUUUUUGAGACUCAAAAAAUGGGUAAGUGGACACAAAUAUCUGAGAAUUAUUUAAACACCUAAUGAGCUCAGGCCAGCACACACAGACACACACACACACACACACACACACCAUGCACUUAACAGUGUGAAUAAUAGAUAGACCUUUUCUCUCUGGAGAUUUCAGAGAUAAUUACAUUUUCCCCUAAAUAAUAUUGGUAACCAGGAAAAUAUCACCACCAUAAAACUACUAAUGAAUUAUUUAUAACUACACGUCUCUUAAAAUGUAAGUGCGCACAGCUGAAUUUUUAAAUCACUGCAGGAGUUUCACAUAUCUGUAUGCUUAUAUGAAGCUACUGCCAGGAGAUGGUUAGCUUAGCUUAGCAUGAAGACUGGAAACAGGCAGAGAAAAACCUAGCCUUAGUCUUUCUAAAGGUAACAAAAUCCACCUACAAGCACCUCAAAAGCUUGCAAAUUUAUACAUUAUUCAGUAUCUUGUUUGUAAAAACAGCUUUAGCUGAUGAGUUGGAUUCAUACCUUUGGACAGAGCCAAGCUAGCUAUUUCCCUCCUGCUUCCUGUCUUUAAACAGCAGCAAAUAUUAGCAUAUCUCAUAGCCCCAUGUCCUCUCCAUCUGUAUAUUACGUGAGGAAUAUUGGCAGAUUUACAUAAAUUUAGUUUCCCUCCAAAAUUAAAUCAAAUAAAGGCUAUAGUGAAAUUCAAAGUGGUUUAUUCUUAGGGCCCAAACACAAACACAAGCAUGUAAAUGCUCUCACUUAACUGUGCCAAAAUGUAAAACAAGGUUCCAAGUUGUCCAGAAAUCUGUUUUAAAGGAAUAGCUCGACAAUUUAGGAACUACACUUAUUCUUGCUAGGUCAAUAACGUGACCACUUUCAUGUCUGUAGGUAAGUAUGAAGCUACAUCUAGUGCUUGGUUAGCAUAGCUUAGCUUAGCAUGAAGACUGAAAACAGGUGGAGAGAGCUAGCCUGGCUCUGUGCAAAAUGAGGUAUAACAUGUUAAUUUGUGAGCUUUAGAGGGGCUGGUAUGUGGAUUUUUAGCCACGCUAGUGGUGUUUGUUUACUGCAAGAAAGUACAGGUGAACAGGGUAGAAAUUUUAACUAAUAGAUAUCACCAUGAAACUUCCCAAUUGAUUACUUAGUAUUUUUUGUAUUACAAGUUUUCUGAAAUGUUAUGUUUAAAUAUGCAAAUAAGGUACUUAGUACUUAAAUAUGCGCUCAUUUGCAUACAUUUCAGAAAUCUGAACAGUGGAUAAAGCCAGGUUCAUUCAAUUCUUGUUUCAUUUUGUUGACAUAUUAGAGUCAAAGGUUUUUACAGAGGGAAUUUUGGAUAUCUGUUUUAUCACUCCAUAAAUCAGAAAAUACAGUCAACAGCCAUAAAAAAAAUCAAUUUUCGCCAUAUUUUUAGGAAUAAAAUGUUAUAUAAAUCAGACUAUGAAUGAUGUAUGAACAAACCCCUCUGUAAAAACCUUCAGAAUAUAGAUAGGAAUAAAACUGGAAGGUUUGGUGUAUGUAAGUGCUACCGAAGUGGUUGUUUAAACAAAACAACACAAAAUCUCAAUUUUAUCACAUUUAUUUUGUUAAUUUGCAAAACAUAAGUAACAUAUUUGUUUCUUCAGUCACUUCAGACGUUACUCUUGAAAGUUUACAGUUUUCUCUUCAUCUCUGACAAAUGAGCUCCGCGCCCCAUAUAGCUUCUAUUGCGUUAACAUUGUUUGAGACAAACAUAGCUAUUGUGCUCUGUCUCGGCCAUCUGUGGACAGUUUAGUGCCAGCGGGUGGGUCAGCCUCUCCUGGGACUCUGUGUAGACUCUGAAACAGAUCGACUCUGUUUGGAUUCAUAAACUGUAGACAGACGUGGAGACUCUGACUGCAGACGUGUUGACUCACAGCACAUGGCCAGCUACAUCAAGACAUCUUGUAAUUGUUCCUGCUGUUUUACUUAUUUCUCAAAAUUGCUGGCCCAGGGUUUUACUAUAUCUUAUUUAUGGGAGUGGCUGAAAGGAUGAGAGUGAGACAAAGGCCUUUACACAGUAAUACACAUGAAUAAAUAGGCUGAUACACAUUAUUCACAGACAUACACACUCACACAUACACACACACACACAUAACAGUUAGAUGAAAAUGUGGGAAACAUGAUUCAAGCUGCCUCUGGCAAAAACAAACUAACCAUGUUUCCUCUGGUCAUCCUGGUUUCCUCUAACAAAGCUAUGUAUGUCUGCCUCUCUACUGUUAUGUCACCCAACAUAACAUGGAUGAAGGAGGAGGUUAGAUCCUGUUUGUUCUGCCUCGAACAGAGACAUGUGAACCAGUUUUUCCUCAGUAUCUUCUAUCUGAAGUCAAUGCAAGUGUGUGUGUGUGUGUGUGUGCGUGUGUGUGUGUGUGUGUGUGUGUGAGUCUGUGUAUGCAUGAGUAAAGGAUUAGUCACUAACAGUGUGAAAUGUUAUGGUUAAGGAAAAAUCCACAGCUGUGCACAUCUGAAUCCAGCUGUUUCUCUUUACUCUCACCACAUCCUUGAAUAAACUUCAGGCCAGUGAUGGAGGA